AGGAUCAUUAAUGAAAUUAUAAUCCGGCGAGGGAAAGGCGGAGAGUUGUAGCUGGCCCCAGGGCAUGUGCACGCUCUCUUCCGGACUUUCGCCGUAUGGGCGCGGGGCGACCCGCGUCUUCAUAUACCUCUUCGUGUAGAAAGUCUUUGAAUGUUAUUACCAUCAUCGAGUCGCGACUUCUAGGAGACGCGAUUCUUUGAGACAAAAGUUAUUACAACUUUCAGCAACGGAUCUCUUGGCUCUCGCAUCGAUGAAGAACGCAGCGAAUCGCGAUAUGUAAUGUGAAUUGCAGAUCUACAGUGAAUCAUCGAAUCUUUGAACGCACCUUGCGCUCCUCGGUGUUCCGAGGAGCAUGCCUGUUUGAGUGUCAGUAAAUUCUCAACCCCUCUCGAUUUGCUUCGAUAGGGUGCUUGGAUGUUGGGGGCUGCCGGAGACACUGGACUCGUCCAGGACUCGGGCUCCUCUUAAAUGAAUCGGCUUGCGGUCGACUUUCGACUUUGCAUGACAAGGCCUUUGGCGUGAUAAUGAUCGCCGUUCGCCGAAGUGCAAGACAGAACGGUCCCGUGCCUCUAACGCGUCGACGCCUCUCGGGGCCGUCUUCCUCAUUGACGUUUGACCUCAAAUCAGGUAGGACUACCCGCUGAACUUAAGCAUAUCAAUAAGCCGG
rnacentral:rRNA from 1 species